rnacentral:rRNA from 1 species
GCCUGCCCUGUGACAAUGUUCAACGGCCGCGGUAUUUUGACCGUGCAAAGGUAGCGUAAUCACUUGUCUUUUAAAUGAAGACCCGUAUGAAAGGCACCACGAGAGUUUAACUGUCUCUAUUUUCUAAUCAAUGAAAUUGAUCUAUUCGUGCAGAAGCGAAUAUAAUAACAUUAGACGAGAAGACCCUAUGGAGCUUCAAACACUUAGACUAAUUAUGUAAAAUUUUUUACCCUUAGGGCAUAAACAAAAAUACAAUACUUCUAGUUUAACUGUUUUUGGUUGGGGUGACCAAGGGGUAAAAUAAAACCCCCUUAUCGACCGAACACUUAGUGU